AGGGCACCACCAGGAGUGGAGCCUGCGGCUUAAUUUGACUCAACACGGGAAAUCUCACCAGGCCCGGACACCGGAAGGAUUGACAGAUUGAGAGCUCUUUCUUGAUUCGGUGGGUGGUGGUGCAUGGCCGUUCUUAGUUGGUGGAGCGAUUUGUCUGGUUAAUUCCGAUAACGAACGAGACUCUGGCCUACUAAAUAGACGUUAGAUCCCUUUGUGGGUCUAUCGCAGCUUCUUAGAGGGACGGGCGGCGUUCAGCCGCACGAGAUUGAGCAAUAACAGGUCUGUGAUGCCCUUAGAUGUUCUGGGCUGCACGCGCGCUACACUGAAGGAAUCAGCGUGUGUUCCCUGCCCGAAAGGACUGGGAAACCCGUUGAACCUCCUUCGUGAUGGGGUUUGGGGAUUGCAAUUAUUCCCCAUGAACGAGGAAUUCCCAGUAGGCGCGAGUCAUAAGCUUGCGUCGAUUACGUCCCUGCCCUUUGCACACACCGCCCGUCGCUACUACCGAUCGAGUGAUUUAGU
rnacentral:rRNA from 1 species